rnacentral:misc_RNA from 1 species
GCCAAUUUGGUCAGAGAUCUAUCCCCAAAAAAUAUUAGCAAAUGGAUCCCUCUUCCAAUGGCUAUGGCAGUGCCUUUCCUAGUGGGGGCGUACUUUGCAAUUGAUAUGUGUGUGGGGAGUCUGAUUGUGUUUGCAUGGCACAAGCUAAACCGCAGUAAAGCAGGUUUGAUGGUUCCUGCAGUGGCCUCUGGCUUGAUCUGUGGAGAUGGCUUGUGGAUUCUUCCUUCAUCCAUCCUUGCAUUGGCUAAAAUUCAUCCUCCAAUAUGCAUGAGUUUCAAGUAGAAAUUCUCUUGGACAGCAAAAUCUGUACUUGUUGACAAAUAAAACUUAUUGCAGCCAC